rnacentral:lncRNA from 1 species
AACAUUUAAGUUCUUGAGUUAGAUGGAAGUCAAGGAGAGCAGUGGAAGUGACAAACCUGAUAAGAAGAGGAGGCCAUGCCGAAGAGAAAGUUGUCUGGCAAUGAAAAAUGAUCUAAACUCCCUUGCAAAGUUUCUGGAUGUGAUGAUACACAGAGAGGAACGAAGAUAAGGACUAAAAGAAACAUAACUUGAAAAUUUGAAGGAAGCUCCAUGAUGAGUAAUGCCCUUCCUUUGGAGUCUCUCGUAAAAGCUAAGAAGCUCUCUGCAGAUGCUUUUGAGAAAUUAACUAAUUGUAUAGUGGAUAUGAGAGCUUAGAGAAGAUGUUGGAAAUUUUAACUUGUGUGAAAAAAAGAAGGGAACGCGAAAACUGUAUGAGCAAAUCACAUCUCUGGCCCUUUCAGAUUUACAGAUAGCUCCACUAGAAAU